UCUGGUGUCACCUACAUCUGGAUGGA
rnacentral:piRNA from 1 species